rnacentral:rRNA from 1 species
AGGGAAAGAGGGGGGUAGGCCUAACACAUGCAAGUCGAACGGCAGCACAGUAAGAGCUUGCUCUUACGGGUGGCGAGUGGCGGACGGGCGAGGAAUACAUCGGAAUCUACUUUUUCGUGGGGGAUAACGUAGGGAAACUUACGCUAAUACCGCAUACGACCUACGGGUGAAAGCAGGGGAUCUUCGGACCUUGCGCGAUUGAAUGAGCCGAUGUCGGAUUAGCUAGUUGGCGUGGUAAAGGCCCACCAAGGCGACGAUCCGUAGCUGGUCUGAGAGGAUGAUCAGCCACACUGGAACUGAGACACGGUCCAGACUCCUACGGGAGGCAGCAGUGGGGAAUAUUGGACAAUGGGCGCAAGCCUGAUCCAGCCAUACCGCGUGGGUGAAGAAGGCCUUCGGGUUGUAAAGCCCUUUUGUUGGGAAAGAAAAGCAGCAGGUUAAUACCCCGCUGUUCUGACGGUACCCAAAGAAUAAGCACCGGCUAACUUCGUG